AUCUACAUGACUUUGAAAGACCCCCAGAGUGGGGAGACCCUCACUCAAGUCUCAGGAUGACGCGACCCCCUAAGAACUCACAUAAGACC
rnacentral:pre_miRNA from 14 species